CCUGACCUCAAGUGAUCCACCUGCCUCGGCCUUCCAAAGUGUUGGGAUUACAGGCGUGAGCCACCACCCCCAGCCAGAAUGACACUGUUUUGAGUAACCCAGUAUAGUAUGUGAUAUUAAACUAAAUUUGGAGGAUUCUAGAAUUCUAGAUUGGCUGCCUAUGACGACAGACCUCUUUUGGCUCCAAUUACUCCCUCAUUUUCAGGUGACUCAGAGAACUUCAAGUGACCAGCACAGUGGUACAGCCCCACUUGUCGUUAAUGGCCAGCCAUAAAAGAACCCAAGUUUCUCAGCUCAUAGGCCAGGUUCUUCAGUGGUUGUCUAGUUUAAGGCUGGUCAUUAGCAAUAUUAUGGACGACCUAAGUUCCUCGAACUUAUGCAGUUUAUAGCUUUUUAAGAAUUUAAGAAGUGGAGAAGGGGAAGCAUGAGAAACUUAAAGGAUGCAAAUUGAGCAUCUCUUAAAAUAUAAUGGAUUUGUGUAGGUGAAACAGAUUUGUUGCCAAAAGUUAAUUUGUGCACAAGUUAUCAGGAACACACUUGAUAAAAUUAGAUGCUGAUUAAUUGGAGAUACAUUGUAUCCAGAGAUACACAAGAAUCCAGAGGAAAUAAACAGAGAAGGAGAGGAAGAGGGAAGGAAUUCAUGGAGGGCUAAAAAUUUUGGAGAGGACAAAGUUUUAAGGAGUCUCAAUACCAAAUCCUCAUCUUGGCUCUGCCUUCAAGUUACUGUUUCUUUGGAUGGAGUCUUGCUCUGCUGCCUAGGCUGGUGUGCAACGG